CUUGAACGCUGGCGGCAGGCCUAACACAUGCAAGUCGAGCGAGCGGCGGACGGGUGAGUAAUGUCUGGGGAACUGCCCGAUGGAGGGGGAUAACUACUGGAAACGGUGGCUAAUACCGCAUACUAUCGGAUGAACCCAUAUGGGAUUAGCUAGUAGGUGGGGUAAUGGCUCACCUAGGCGACGAUCUCUAGCUGGUCUGAGAGGAUGACGAGCCACACUGGGACUGAGACACUGCCCAGACGCCUACGGGAGGCAGCAGUGGGGAAUAUUGCACCAGGGGCGCAACCCUGAUGCAGCCAAGCCGCGGGUAUGAAGAAGGCCUGAGGGUUGUAAAGUACUUUCAGCGGGGAAGCGUUACCCGCAGAAUAAGCACCGGCUAACUCCGUGCCAGCAGCCGCGGUAAUAC
rnacentral:rRNA from 1 species